rnacentral:rRNA from 1 species
AAAACUUUCAACAACGGAUCUCUUGGUUCCGGCAUCGAUGAAGAACGCAGCGAAAUGCGAUAAUUAAUGUGAAUUGCAGAAUUCAGUGAAUCAUCGAGUCUUUGAACGCACAUUGCGCCCUCUGGUAUUCCGGAGGGCAUGCCUGUCCGAGCGUCAUUGCUGCCC